rnacentral:tRNA from 2 species
GGGCGGCUAGCUCAGCGGUAGAGCACUUCGUUCACACCGAAGGGGUCACAAGUUCGAUCCUUGUGCCGCCCACCA